rnacentral:rRNA from 1 species
CUAAUGACUCUCGGCAACGGAUAUCUCGGCUCACGCAUCGAUGAAGAACGUAGCAAAAUGCGAUACUUGGUGUGAAUUGCAGAAUCCCGUGAACCAUCGAGUUUUUGAACGCAAGUUGCGCCCGAAGCCAUCCGGCCGAGGGCACGCCUGCCUGGGCGUCACG